CGGGAUAAGUGCUGAAAGCAUCUAAGCAUGAAGCCCCCCUCAAGAUGAGAUUUCCCACACGCAAGUGGUAAGAUCCCUGAAAGAUGAUCAGGUAGAUAGGUUCGAGGUGGAAGCAUAGCGAUAUGUGUAGCUGACGAAUACUAAUCGAUCGAGGACUUAACCAAAUU
rnacentral:rRNA from 1 species